GUCCGUGUGGCGGAAUUGGUAGACGCGCAGCCUUGAGGUGGCUGUGUCGCAAGACGUGGAGGUUCGAGUCCUCUCAUGGACACCA
rnacentral:tRNA from 1 species